UACGAAGGGGGCUAGCGUUGCUCGGAAUCACCGGGCGUAAAGCGCACGUAGGCGGAUUGCUAAGUCAGGGGUGAAAUCCUGGAGCUCAACUCCAGAACUGCCUUUGAUACUGGCAACCUUGAGCCCGGGAGAGGUGAGUGGAACUGCGAGUGUAGAGGUGAAAUUCGUAGAUAUUCGCAAGAACACCAGUGGCGAAGGCGGCUCACUGGCCCGGUACUGACGCUGAGGUGCGAAAGCGUGGGGAGCAAACAGG
rnacentral:rRNA from 1 species